UACGAAGGGGGCUAGCGUUGCUCGGAUUGACUGGGCGUAAAGGGCGCGCAGGCGGUCUUCCAAGUCAGUGGUGAAAGCCCGGAGCUCAACUCCGGAACUGCCAUUGAAACUGUAAGACUUGAGGAUGAGAGAGGUGAGUGGAAUUCCCAGUGUAGAGGUGAAAUUCGUAGAUAUUGGGAAGAACACCGGUGGCGAAGGCGGCUCACUGGCUCAUUACUGACGCUCAGGCGCGACAGCGUGGGGAGUCAAACAGG
rnacentral:rRNA from 1 species